rnacentral:lncRNA from 1 species
AGGAACUGAAUUCAAAAUUCCUUGGCUCCAAGGAUUUGGUUUGAAGCCUAAAGAAAACAAGACAAGUUGGAAACAAAUCAAAAUUUAGCUCUCUUAAACUAACAUUGAAUCACAGGAGCAAGGGGAGGAAGACACACAGGAUUCAGGAUUUUGCCUUUUUUGUUCACUUAUUUCAAGGGUUGCAAUGGCCACAUAUUUCAAUACUAACUAGUAAGUCUAUUGUUGAUAAGUAUUUCUGUAUUUAGCUCAUCUAGCCCUUAAACAGCAGAGUCUGAUUCUAAAAAUAGACUUCUUACAAAAUAGCCUUUACAAAAUAAUGGAUGCCAACAGUGCUUGAACUCAUCAGGAAUAGCUUUUAAGACUACAUAAGCCAAGUUGAGGCAUUAAUUAUAAAACUUUCCAAAAAAGAAACAGAUUGCAUCCAUAAGCAAAGAAUUGCUUGUCCCUUUAGAUAUUCUCCUGAAGGUUAAAUACCCAUUGUUGGGACUUCUAUUUGUUAGCUUUGUCCUAAAUAAAC